CCCAGCAGUCAAAUCACCCUGCAACUCACAAUUGUCAACCCACUGGAGCUCAGCAGGUGUGAGCCUGGUCAGCACCUGGAUGGGAGACCUCCUGGGAAAAACUAAGGUUGCUGCUGGAA
rnacentral:rRNA from 1 species